AUCGCUUCUCGACCUUUUGGCUAAAAUCAAAGUUUGGUUUCUGUUCUUAUCGAAUUAACCUUCGAUGAAGACUCGAAUGAGUCUCGUUAAGAUCAUUUGAUUUUUGGAACCGGAUCAGGUAGUCGGCCUGCUCGCACCUCGUCACGGUUCGGGCCAGCGUUGUACUGUUGCAGGGGUCGAUCCAGUUCCA
rnacentral:snRNA from 1 species